GCGGCCGUAGUCUAGCCUGGAGAGGAUGGAGGCCCUCCAAGCCUCAGACCCGGGUUCAAAUCCCGGCGGCCGCA
rnacentral:tRNA from 3 species